AUUCUCCAUGAAGUUCUGAGCUGCGAGAGCCCAGCAACGCCCUGAACCCAGGCAGCCUGUGAGUAACUGCACAGCCAGGAAGCCAGGAAGGGCUGCUUUGAAGAGAUGGCAGCAUUACCCAUCAGCAUAACAGUUGUAUAUCGCUGCUGCUGAUAGAAUGACCUGCUGUUGCUGAAGAAGGAACAUCCUGACAGGAAGCAGAGGAGCAGACCCAUGAUUCCCCCAGCAGACAUGAAAAGUGAAGCUCCUAAGCAAAGAGUACUUAGCUCAUUGAUUGCUUUAGGAGAAUCAAAACAAAACCUCAGAAAAUUCUAUGGAAGGAGUUACAGAGACAAAAUUCGGAGCAGAGACUGAAGGAAGGACCUUCCAGAGACUGCCCCACCUGGUGAUCUAUCCCGUAGACAACCACCAAACCCAAGCACUAUUGCAGAUGCCAACAAGAUUUUGAUGACAGGAGCCUGAUAUAACUGUCUCCUGAGAGGCUCCUCCAGUGCCUGGCAAAUACAGAAGUGGAUGCUCACAAUCAUCCAUUGGACAGAGCACAGGGUCCUCAAUGAAGGAGCUAAAGAAAGGACCCAAGGAGCUGAAGGAGUUUGUAGCCCUAUAGGAACUAUAUGAACUAACCAGUACCCCCAGAGCUCCCAGGGACUAAAUUACCAAUCAAAGAAAACACAUGGUGGGACUGUGUCUCUAUUUGCAUACGUAGCAGAGGCUGGCCUAAUCUGCCAUCAACGGAAGGAGAGGUCCUUGGUCUUGUGAAGGUUAUAUGCCCCAGUAUAGGGGAAUGCCAGGGCCAGGAAGCAGUAGUGUGUGGGUUGGGGGAGCAGGGGUGGGGAGGGGAUAGGGGAUUUUCAGAGUAGAAACUAGGAAAGGGGAUAACAUUUGAAAUGUAAAUAAAGAAAAUAUCUAAUUAAAUAAAAGGGGAAGAAAAUUCUUAACAAUCUGUGGUUGUACACUAAGAGGUUUCACUGAAAAACAUGGCAAAGAAGGAAAAAUAUCUUGUUUUAUUUUUUUAUUUUUAACAGUAAUCAAUGUGGACCUUGUCAAGCACAUUCCUAAGCUGCAUUUGCAGACAGGGAGGGUGAUGCAUAUGGUAUGUGGGAACCUCCUGAGAACUUCUAGUGGAGUCUUACAUGUAUCCCACAUGACCGGGAGCAGGCAGGAGUAAUCCUAACGUUAACCCACCUGCUAGCCUUAACUAUGGUGGGCUUUGUGGUAGCCAGUUUAUACUCACAGAUGAUGCCAAGGAGAUCAAAGGCACCCGUUGAUGGUGCUUUAAAGAGGGCUUUUUGUCAGGAGAAAGAGGAAGACCUUUCAUGAACCUAGAAACGAUUUUCUUGAUGUAGAGGACUGAAGGCAGCAGAGCUGUUGGAAGCCAGCAGGCAGCCAGCACUCCAGGCUCUGAAAAGGUGUAGUCUUCAGGGCUCACAACCAGAACAGUUAUAGCCGAGAAAUCCGUGAAAGAGCUAGAGGGCAAAUUAAAAGCUUGAUGGUUCUUAGAACAUUUUCUACCCACAACCACUCUGUGCCACUUCAAUUUUUUCCGUUCUGACGGGGUCAGAAAGGAGGGCAAUUAG
ensembl:antisense